rnacentral:rRNA from 1 species
GCGUAAGCGCGCGCAGGUGGUUUCUUAAGUCUGAUGUGAAAGCCCACGGCUCAACCGUGGAGGGUCAUUGGAAACUGGGAGACUUGAGUGCAGAAGAGGAAAGUGGAAUUCCAUGUGUAGCGGUGAAAUGCGUAGAGAUAUGGAGGAACACCAGUGGCGAAGGCGACUUUCUGGUCUGUAACUGACACUGAGGCGCGAAAGCGUGGGGAGCAAACAGGAUUAGAUACCCUGGUAGUCCACGCCGUACACGAUGAGUGCUAAGUGUUAGAGGGUUUCCGCCCUCCAGUGCUGACGAAAACGCAUUAAGCACUCCCCCUG